rnacentral:sRNA from 1 species
UGAAUACUCGCUUAUGCAUCAUACCUGU